CGGCUCAUCGCGCAAAGGCAGGAGGCUUUGCAGAGGAAAGUCCGGACAGGCACGGGCUGCGAUGCCCGUAGUGAUUGCGCGUGACCUAAUAAGUCACGGAAGGAGACAUACCCUCCUUACGGCGGUGAAAUCCACUCGGCUGUUUACAGCUGGGAGUGGAAACUAACCUGAAAGUGCCACAGAAACGAUUCGUUCCGGCGACGGAACGGUGCAAGGGUAAACCCCGCAAGCCUGCAACUCAAAUUAUGGUAGAGGAACCCUAAGACGGGAAUGCGAACUGAAUUAGGGCGCAGCCGAAGGCUGCGAGAUAAAUGUUGUCCGAGGGAGCCGCAAGGUUUUCCUGAACAAAAUCCGGCUUACAGUA
rnacentral:RNase_P_RNA from 1 species